rnacentral:rRNA from 1 species
AUGUCGGACGUGACGGCGGUGAUGGAUCUGGAGGAGGAGGAGCCGCGGCUGUCGCUCCCGCCGGGCUUCCGCUUCCACCCGACGGACGAGGAGGUGGUCACCCACUACCUCACCCCCAAGGCCGUCAACAACGCCUUCUCCUGCCUCGUGAUCGCCGACGUCGACCUCAACAAGACCGAGCCGUGGGAUCUCCCCGGGAAGGCGAAGAUGGGGGAGAAGGAGUGGUACUUCUUCGUGCACAAGGAUCGCAAGUACCCGACAGGGAUGCGCACCAACCGCGCCACGGAGAAGGGGUACUGGAAGGCGACGGGGAAGGACAAGGAGAUCUUCCGCGGCAAGGGCCGGGACGCCGUGCUCGUCGGCAUGAAGAAGACGCUCGUCUUCUACACCGGCCGCGCGCCCCGCGGCGAUAAGACGCCCUACGUCAUGCACGAGUACCGCCUCGAGGGCCAGCUGCCCCACCGCCUCCCCCGCUCCGCCAAGAACGAUUGGGCUGUUUGCCGGGUGUUCGACAAGGACUUGGCGGCGAAGAAUGCGCCGCCCCAGACGGCGCCGGCGGCCGUCGGGGUCAUGGAGGACCCGUACGCCUUCCUCGACGUCGACGACUUCCUCAACAACCCCGACCUGCUCAACAACGCCGACCUGCCGAUGCUCAUGGACUCCCCGUCAGGCGCCGACGACUUCGCCGGCGCCUCGAGCUCCACCUCCAGCGCCGCCGUGCCGUUCGAGCCGGACAUGGAGCAUCUUUCCAUCAAGACGGAGCCGCCGGUGCCGCAGCAGCAGAUGCAGAGCCCCAACUACUUCUACAUGCCGGCGGCGACGCCCAACGGCAACCAUGGCGGCGCCGGGUACUCACCCUACCAGGCCAUGGGGGACCAGCAGACCGCGAUCCGCAGGCACUGCAAGCCGGAGGCGGCGUCUUCGUCGGCGCUGCUGAGCCCUUCGCUGGGCUUCGACGCGGGGGCGCUCGCCGGCGCGGACACCUCGUCGUUCCUGAUGCCGUCGUCGCGGUCGUACCUCGAUCUGGAGGUCAUGGACUACUCCAACAUGUGGAAGAUCUGA